CAACCCUCAAGCUCUGCUUGGUAUUGGGCACCGUCCUUUGCGGGCGCGCCUCAAAGACCUCGGCGGUGGCGUCUUGCCUCAAGCGUAGUAGAACAUACAUCUCGCUUCGGAGCGCAGGGCGUCGCCCGCCGGACGAACCUUCUGAACUUUUCUCAAGGU
rnacentral:rRNA from 1 species